rnacentral:rRNA from 1 species
GAUGAACGCUAGCUACAGGCUUAACACAUGCAAGUCGAGGGGCAGCACAGUGUAGCAAUACACGGGUGGCGACCGGCGCACGGGUGCGUAACGCGUAUCCAACCUUCCCGUUACUCUUGGAUAGCCUUCCGAGAGGGAGAUUAAUACAAGAUGGUAUUCAAAUUCCGCAUGUUAUUUGAAUUAAAGAUUUAUUGGUAACGGAUGGGGAUGCGUGACAUUAGAUAGUAGGCGGGGUGACGGCUGACCUAGCCUACGAUGUCUAGGGGUUCUGAGAGGAAGGUCCCCCACACUAGAACUCAGACACGGUCCAGACUCCUACGGGAAGCAGCAGUGAGGAAUAUUGGGCAAUGGUCGGAAGACUGAACCAGCCAAGUAGCGUGAAGGAUGAAGGUUCUAUGGAUUGUAAACUUCUUUUAUACGGGAAUAAAACACCUUACGUGUAGGGUCUUGUAUGUACCGUAUGAAUAAGCAUCGGCUAACUCCGUGCCAGCCGCCGCAGUAAUAC